rnacentral:rRNA from 1 species
UCGGUUUCUCCCUUCUGACGAACCAUGAUGUCAUUUAUUUGGUGUUGUGGGGAAUCAGGACUGUUACUUUGAAAAAAUUAGAGUGUUUAAAGCAGGCUCACGCUUGAAUACAUUAGCAUGGAAUAAUGAAAUAGGACGUUUGAUUCUAUUUUGUUGGUUUCUAGGAUCGACGUAAUGAUUAAUAGGGAUAGUUGGGGGCAUUAGUAUUCAAUUGUCAGAGGUGAAAUUCUUGGAUUUAUUGAAGACUAACAACUGCGAAAGCAUUUGCCAAGGAUGUUUUCAUUAAUCAAGAACGAAAGUUAGGGGAUCGAAGACGAUCAGAUACCGUCGUAGUCUUAACCAUAAACUAUGCCGACUAGGGAUCGGAUGAUGUUAAUUUUUUAAUGACUCAUUCGGCGCCUUACG